CAACGCACCAUGUAGCAGAACUUCAAGAUGCUUCGUCAGAGGAAUGGACUGUCCCUUCAGUCUCCGCUCAGACCCCUCAGUGUGUUGGUUUUCCAUCUUGUCCUCACACACUCUGUGACAGAUAAGUGUUACUACUAAGUGACAUAAUCUACACCUUCAGGUGGAUGAAAGUUGGGGAAGAGUAAACAUUUCUCAUGCUUUAGGUCAGUGUUGUUGCAACACGUUCUCAUCCCAAGUCAUCACAUAUCACAAGCUAAGUAUCCAACAUCAUCUGCGUAUCCAUCAGUCCAUGUAUCAUCCUGACACAAUCUGACCAAACUGCAGCGUAUCAUGACACAACAAAAGGUUCAGUUUGGCCACAUUGUAAACUGAUGCCACCCUGCAACGUAUCAUACCACCACUAGUUUUUGGCGUUGGUGUAUGACAUGCAAAUGACAGACUUUGGAAUGAGAAUGGGCUGGGAGCAAUGUCCUGAUGACCUGCUGCUGUCAAUUCACAGUUUGGGAUCAGUUCCAUCCAUCCAUCCAUCCAUCCAUCCAUCCAUCCAUCCAUCCAUCCAUCCAUCCAUCCAUCCAUCAUCAUGGUGUACAAGCUCUUGUUGAGCUGAGCAGAUUUAAGUAGUUCUUACUGCAGGAAUGAAUAAAC